rfam:Ixodes scapularis strain Wikel colony gcontig_1108378861224, whole genome shotgun sequence.
UCCUGGUUAGCUCAGUUACUAGAGCGCUCUACUGGAAAUGGAGAGGUCCCGGGUUCUAUAACCGGACCAGGCG